GGGUGAGGCCCGAAGUAGGGCCUAAGGCGCAUGCUCACUAUCUGGCUGGAGCGAGCCUAGCUCAUUGCGCCUGCGUCCUGGCGUCUUCCUAAGCAAAGGCAGGUGAAUUAGCUUGUUGGAGGUCCUUCCGCCGCCGUUGAGAAAGUUAAGGGCUUCGAAUUAAACAAGCAACCGCUCACCUAGUCCUUCCACAUUAUUAAUGGACAUGCCGGUGCUAGGGGCCUUGUCUGCUAAUUCCAGUAUCUGUAUCAUCUCAGAAUUGGCUUUGUUCGACUUCACUUUCUGCAGAUGGAAUGAAUGCCUUGCUCUUUUGAAGCCUUUGUGCAGAUCAAGAAGUAGAACUCUCAUCUCCUUCUCCAGCACCACGUCUGCCUGCACUCUGCUUCCUGCCAUGAUGACAAUGGACUGAACCUCUGAACCUGUAAGCCAGCCCCAAUUAAACGUUGGACUUAUAAGAGUUGCCUUGUCUCUUCACAGCAAUACAAUCCUAACUAAGACAGUCAGGGUGUUCAUCACAGCAACAAAAUUAAAGAAAGACAUCGCAUUGUAUGUGAUAUGUGGAGACCAGAGUGUGUCACUGUCCUUCAACUGUUGAUUUUUGCCUGCUGUCACCUCUCAUUUUGAUUCUCUGUUUCAGUGAAGGAUUUGAUGAAUCUUACAUUUUAAACUAUGGGAUGAGGGGCUAUUCCGGGAGCCUGGAAUGUUGCUAAGCAAGUACCACUGAGCUAGGUACACCCUCAGCCCUUGACAAGGUAAACAUCAUGGGGCUAACUAUGGCCUUCCACCCUCUAAGAUUCCCUACUCAACACCCAUUUCAAUAUUCUCCUACCCCAACCUCUGCCCCCUGACUACUAAAACCUAUUGAAGUUUUGUUUUCUGCUGUGGGAUGUCCCCAGGACAGGCAUAAAUACAAAUACAAUAAUAUAUACAAUAUAUAAAAUACACACACACACACACACACACACAAUUCCCAGUUGAGUUGGCCGAUUUUAUUUUUUUAACUGUGGAAUAAGUACUAAACCUAGAGCCUGGACUAUUGCUAAGCAAGUAUCUAUGUACAUGAGUAUAUGUAUGUUAUACAUAUAAGUAAAUGUAUAUGUGUGUAUAUGUAUGUGCACAUACAUGUAUACUACAAUAAAUACAAACCCCACCUGUGCUAUUCCUUCUC
rnacentral:lncRNA from 1 species